rnacentral:lncRNA from 1 species
GGGAAACGCAGCCCCGCGACGCCGGCAGGGACCGAUGCCGCCAGGCGUCUCAGCGGGCGAUGCUGGACGAGUUGCCGUCGCGGCCGGUGGCUCUGCUGCGACGCAGAGAUAAGGUUGCAAAGUGGUUUUUGCAGAGAGCCCUGCGGCGGUCGGGGGAAAACUGCUCCGCGGCUGGAAAUAAUUAACUUUGCUUCUCCCGACAGCUCGGCUGUGUCCGUGGCCCCGGCCCCUGUGGGAUCAAGGGACGGAGCCGAUGGGAAGCGAUGGGAGCAGCGCCGACUGCAGAGCCAGGAAGCCGGAGCACAGCCCGGAGCUUAUUUAAGCACCAGAGCUGCUAUUUAAGGGGGAACGAGACUCCCACGUCUUUUAAAUCCCCGGUGUCCCUGCCCUCCGCGC